GACCCGCCUGCACAAAGCCGCGUCCUCGCGUCCCCGCGUCCCCGCCGCCGCCUCGGGCCGCCGCGCGCGGCCCCUCCUCCUCUCCUCCCGCCGCCGCCUCGGCCGCUUCUUCCGCUUUUUUUUUUUUUUAAUUUAGAUGUGAUGUUUGUUUCGAGCUCUCGCCUUGCGCACGGUUAAAGUCGCGGCGGCAGAAUUAUCGGAAGAUUCCUGCAGGGGAAAGAAGAGAGAGACGAGUCAGCUCCGGCGCCGGCGGAGCCCCGGCUCUCGGCACCUGGGGAAGGAAAACACGCCCCAACACACGCGCCUCUGCGGGCGCCAAAAAUAACCCGCGCGGGCCGGGCGCCCACCCCGGGGCAACCCGCGCCCACCUCAGGGGCCCCAGGCACCCACCCCGAGAGCUGCUGCAACUGUCAGUCACCCACCCGGAACCCCGAGGGGCAACUACCAAGUAGGCCUCGGGGCCCGGAACAAGGGUCCCGGGGCUCAGGAUCUCGGCCGCUGCGCCUCACUCCUGCCCCAGCCCCGCGCACGGAACUCGUUUCCUUCCCACCCAGUUCGGGACACUCCUCUCUGACUUCCCCAGUAGCCGGCUGGCCCUGCCGGCCUGCGGGGCCCAGCCUAAGUCAGGCUCAUCUUUUGGGACAGGAUCUCACUUGCAGCGCUACAGCCAGUCCCUCUUCUGGUUCUCACGCACCCACUUAAGGCGGAGUGACUGGCCUAAAAGUCCAAGCUGAUCGUGUGGCUUCCGUUCGUAAAUAUCUCCCCUGGAUCUCCCUCCCUGGAGCCAGACAAGACUCAAAACUCCGAAGGGAAUGCAGUCCCCGCAGGGCGCAAAGGAGAAACUAAUAGUCCAGAGGCGGGGUGAACUUAAAGACCUGGCUUUCAUUAGCGUGGUGUUGUAACAGACUGCCAAGGAGCCUCUGAGGAAAUGGAUUUACGUACAUAUACAUACUCGCCCUUGCCCCUGAAGCAACAUCAAAUACUUUCAUGUUAUUCUUGGGGGCGUUUUAAUUCUUCCGAUCCUCUGAAUUCGUGUUUUUGUACAUCUCUUUCCAACCUGGGCCUACACACUAACAGAAAUAGUUUUUUACAUCGAAGGACAAUGCUUAGUGUUUUAUUCAGUCUCAGCUCUUUUCUUUCUUUUUUCUCGUUGUGUUUCAAAAUGUUUAUUUUUUCUGUCUUGUGAUAGUUUUGGAGGAAAAAUAUUGAAAUAAUUCAAAUCAGGCUCUUAACUCUGCUUUAUUAAAUUUAUAGUCAUAGUAGCCUGUGAGUAUGCUUCGGGGGAGGAAAAAAGAAUGCUGGGGUCUUUAUUCUUCAAGUUCUCUAAGUUUGAUAUUUUGAAUAAACACCCAGAGGUGUCUCUGCCUUUUGUGUGUUAGUAUCUAAUCUUUCCUGCAUUUACGAGUCACUAGUAAAAUGCUAUGAAAGCCAUAGAUCCCAUGGCUCUCACUGUGAUUUUCCUGGGCUGAGUAGGGACUUAGUGAUGUUUAACCCCCAGUAUGCUUUUUAUAGAAGCACCAGCUGAUUCACCAGUGCCCUCCAAAGUGAGCACCUAUCCAUCUCACUCUGGACUCCCAACAGGUCAUACCAGGGAGCUUCGUUGAAAUAGACUUGGCAUUUAAAUUAAAAUGUUUCCCAAAGCAUCUUGGCAGACCUGUAACUAAUGAUGCCAGAGGCCCAAGGCCUGUGCCAGGUUCCCUUUUAUUCCCAUAAGUGCUUGUCUCCCACAAGCCACUGGUCACACGCCUGCUGAUGUUAUAGAAGCACUUCUUCAUCCCACAAACAGCCCAACUGUAGGUACCCUAUCUCAGACAUGGUGAAGGGAAGCAGCAUGUUCCUCUGACAUGUGCGAUGCUUGGCUCCCAACAGGCUUUUUAUAAUAAGCUAAACUCAGAUUUUUUCAUCACAAAUAGCGU
rnacentral:lncRNA from 10 species